rnacentral:lncRNA from 10 species
GAAAAAACAAAAAACACCAUUUUUUUUUUUUAAGGAAAGGGUCUCAGGCUGCCCAGGCUGCACUCCUUGCUAUGGAACUAUAGGCAAUGUCUCGUGUGUCUGGACUCUCCUUCUAGGUUCUGCUGACCUUGUCUGUGUCUCCUGUUAUUCCUGUUCCAUACCAAGUAGCAUUUUCUUGGGUUUUUGUUUUUUUUUUUUGUACCUAUUCCCUGUUUCAGUGCAUGUACAGGAAGAGUUGUCUCAUCAGGUGCCACUAAGGAAAACUUUCUCCAUCAAGCUGCCUGCUGUGCACGUUGCCUGGGCUUUGCCUACCCCUGGUGCUGCAUCUGCCUGUGUUCUGUCUUCUGGUUCUGCUGUGCUGUGGGGGAGGGGACGCUUGUACUCCUCUCCUUUUGGCAGGAAGAGUCACUUCCACAUUGAGGUCAGAAUUGAAAAUGGAUUUCCCCGUUGGGCAGAGGGAUGGAGGCCUGCACUUCCUGUGUAGUGUAAUUAAUCGCUGCCCCUUCCCUGCCUGCAGCCGUCCAGGCUCAGGGCCGGCCCUGAUUAACCAUUUCCUGCCCAACGUUGUGAAGGCUACGAAAGACCUGUGUGAGCUUUCGCAUCCUUCCUUCCUACAAGUUCGCUAUUAAUCUCUUGUAGGCCAUCCCUCAGGUUAGGGAGCUCUCUGUGCUGGGCUCGUUUCUGCUGUGUGGGGAGAACUCAGUGCCCAAGAGGCUCCAUGGAGCAGAAAAGCCUGAGUCCAGAGGAAGAGGGGCAGGAGCUGAGGAAGCGAGGACGGCAGGGCCCUGCUUACGGAGCAAAUUUAGUCCAUCUUUCUCACUCCCUUCCCAUGCCCAUGGCUAUGUCAUCUCAAAUGGACAGGGCUCAAAAGAAGGCUUCUCUUCGCCCUUCUAGCUGCCUGAUUUUCAUGUCAUCUGAAGGUACAGUGAGUAAAGAACAUGACCUCAGAGAUGACAUUUGGAAGCCUUUAGGUUGGUUUGAAUUCCUGCAACUUCGGAGCCGUCCCUUUCUCACAUGUGCAUAAGCCAUGACAUUUGAGAGCUGGAAAGGACAGGAUUGUUCGUAUUGUUCAAUGCCCUCAUUUUUGCACAUGUGGGAAGUGAGGUAUAGAGAAAGGCGGAGUGACUUGUCUAGUGGCAGUUAGCUCGUGAGUAGCAGGAUCAAGAUGGGAACCCGGGUCUUCAUGAACUCUCCGAAUGCUUCUUUCAGCAGUUACUUUGGAAUUAGAACCGAUUAAAGUGUUUGCUGCCUUGAUGUGGGGUGUGAGUUGUGUUCCACAGACACAGAGCUCGGUGGAUUAAUGGUGUGCUGGAACGUGUUUAACUGUGGGCUCUCUGAGGGGAAAAAGCGUGAUUAUCCAUAAGUACGUAAGUUUAUUAUACAUUUUGCUGUUAUGAAAGAUGUGGAACAUGCAAUUUAUAAUAACGAUAAAAUAUAUAACACUCUUUGUUAUAAAUUCCAUAGAACCAAUAGAUUCUCACAGCAUGGUCUUGUUGAUUUUUGUUGAAUUCUUGUAACUACCUGGUUGCAAUUGCUGAAUGAGUGUAGUUCUGAUAUAAAUGUUGAAUGAUAUUUUCUUGUAUGUUAAUGUAUUAGACAAAAGUGAAACCACGAAGACAUAGGUUGAAACCUCACUCAUUCAUCAACGACAUGAGUGACUUCUUUUCUAAAUCAAAUACUGGGAGAAUAUUUCCUCAAAUUUUCAUGUUAUUCACAAUGUAACAGCCACAGACACAGACGUGGCACUCUUUUGAGUUUAAUCUUCAUUAUGAACAUUCCCCAUCACUUUAAGUCUAGACAAGCAACAAAACAAUAAAUCAAGACCUGAUUCCCAGCACUUGCCAAUUUACAUCCAUGGUGUAAAUAUUCUCACCAUGACAGAUUUCAAGCUAACACUGUGAUGUCACAGAACUCAAUUAGAAAGACAUGUGUAGCCACACAUUCUUAUAUAAUUUUCUACUAUGCA